rnacentral:rRNA from 1 species
AUUGAACGCUGGCGGCAGGCCUAACACAUGCAAGUCGAACGAGUGGCGGACGGGUGAGUAAUGUCUGGGAAACUGCCCGAUGGAGGGGGAUAACUACUGGACACGGUAGCUAAUACCGCAUACCAUCGGAUGUGCCCAGAUGGGGUUUGCUAGUAGGGGGGGUAACGGCUCACCUAGGCGACGAUCCCUAGCUGGUCUGAGAGGAUGACCAGCCACACUGGAACUGAGACACGGGCCAGACUCCUACGGGAGGGAGCAGUGGGGAAGAUUGCACAAUGGGCGCAAGCCUGAUGCAGCCAUGCCGCGUGUAUGAAGAAGGCCUUCGGGUUGUAAAGUACUUUCAGCGAGGAGGCGUUACUCGCAGAAGAAGCACCGGCUAACUCCGUGCCAGCAGCCGCGGUAAUUC